UACGAAGGGGGCUAGCGUUGUUCGGAUUUACUGGGCGUAAAGCGCACGUAGGCGGAUUGUUAAGUUGGGGGUGAAAUCCUGGAGCUCAACUCCAGAACUGCCUUCAAUACUGGCAAUCUCGAGUCCGGAAGAGGUAAGUGGAACUCCUAGUGUAGAGGUGGAAUUCGUAGAUAUUAGGAAGAACACCAGUGGCGAAAGCGGCUUACUGGUCCGGUACUGACGCUGAGGUGCGAAAGCGUGGGGAGCAAAAGGG
rnacentral:rRNA from 1 species